rnacentral:rRNA from 1 species
UAAGCGGAGGAAAAGAAACUAACAAGGAUUCCCCUAGUAACGGCGAGUGAACCGGGAAGAGCUCAAAUUUGAAAUCUGGCGUCCUUCGGGCGUCCGAGUUGUAAUCUAUAGAGGCGUUUUCCGUGCCGGACCGUGUCUAAGUCCCUUGGAACAGGGUAUCAAAGAGGGUGACAAUCCCGUACUUGACACGACGACCGGUGCUCUGUGAUACGUCUUCUACGAGUCGAGUUGUUUGGGAAUGCAGCUCAAAAUGGGUGGUGAGUUCCAUCUAAAGCUAAAUAUUGGCGAGAGACCGAUAGCGAACAAGUACCGUGAGGGAAAGAUGAAAAGCACUUUGGAAAGAGAGUUAAACAGUACGUGAAAUUGUUGAAAGGGAAACGAUUGAAGUCAGUCGUGACUGUUGGGCUCAGCCGGUUCUGCCGGUGUAUUCCCUUCAGUCGGGUCAACAUCAGUUUUAAUCGGUGGAUAAGGGCAGCAGGAACGUAGCACCUUCGGGUGUGUUAUAGCCUGUCGUCGCAUACAUCGGUCGAGACUGAGGAACGCAGCUCGCCUUUAUGGCCGGGGUUCGCCCACGUCCGAGCUUAGGAUGUUGACAUAAUGGCUUUAAACGACCCGUCUUGAAACACG